GACACAUUUUUCUUGAAAUAUGUCGUUUUGAUAUAUUUUCUAAAUUUUUCACUUGUAGCUGAAGGAAAGAUAGUAUUGCUAUAUUGAUAUCGUUUGAGUUUGGCGACCACUCGAAGACCCAGUCACUCUGGUAACAGUUGAAAGAAAAUUAUGACUACCGUCAUAUGGAGUUUGGCUGUAUUUGUGAACUCAAAAACUCUGCAAGUUUUGAUAAGGCCCACGAUUUUGUACACCACUUGCUAGAUUACAAAUUUAAUUCUGUAUUUUGUUUUCAUUUAUGGCAGACAGGAAGGCUUCUUAUAGGUUUGUUGUCUCAUAUCUACUCAUGAUUUGUUCAACUUGUGCUUGUUCAAUAUAGUCUUAUAAUCUUUGAUUGAUUACUAGUAUAACAUAAAAGUUUGCAUGUUUAUAGAAUAAUAUUUACAAGUAAAACAAUAUGUAACUAUACAUCAAACAAGGCUUUUGUCAUCGAAUUUUUCGACAUUUGAAGUCCUUCUUUUAAAUAAUUAAUAAAAAUUUCACAAAACUA